AUCCAAAAACACAUGCUUCCAAAACUUUCUUCUAGUGAGUGCUAUGAGCUAAGUUUUACAAUCAAUAGGAAUUUAGUCAAUACAUCAUGUUGCAGAUUUUCUGACAUUGAGUUUAACAGUUUUUCCAUUUCUCCUCAGACGCUUUAAAGCCGGUAAGAUCCGCUGUGUGAUCCCUUUCACAAGGCAGGCAGAGCGUAGUCGGGCGCUUCUCAUGUAAAGUCUGGUACGAAUUCUAGAAUUCAGAAUUAAUUUGUGUGACCAAAUUGUUCCAUCAAGAUCCCCUUGACACCUAUCUGUUUGUAUUUGUUGCUAUAACGUUACAAAUCUAGCAACAUUUAGAUGAAUAUCACUAUUAAUACAAAAUACCCACAGACAUUGUAUCAAUUUCUCAGCUGUUACGGCUAUUCGGCUGGAUCCUCUUUGCAAGCCCGGUAUUCCCUUCCCUGAAAUUUAACUGUACAGUACUGAGCUCUUUUCUAACAAUUGAUUUAUAUAUCUAGCCCUUUCUGACAUAUCGGAUUUGAUCAAUAUCGCAAUAUCCAAUUCCGACAUCAAAGAGACGUAUCCAUGAGCGAGAUAUUGAGUUUGGGAAUUAUUGUUCCACUCAGCUCUCUCUCUUCCCUAUUGGAUCUUUUGGGUUUCGCUAACACCAAAUUAAGGCAGAUAAGACAUAACCUUUCUCGCUCAGCAUUUAUACUUAAACUGUACAGCGAGAUACUAAGUCAGAGUUACACUUACUGGCUAAACAUCUAUACCUAGGUUAAAAACAACGAAAUACUGAUUUCAUCAUAGCUGUUUCAGUUAACUCUUACAGUUCUAGUAAUACCAACCCAGACAGACUUGCGACAAACAUAUCAGCAGGACAAGACUUUAGUAACUAUCGUUGUAUUUACUCUUACUAGCUUUACCAGAUUUCACUAUUACCAUAUCAAUUAUCUAGGCAGACCAAUAGAUUAAUAAAAAUAUAUUCUACUAAAAAUAGCAGCAAUAGGAAUCCAGGAGCUUUUAGAUGUUUUUAGACCAAUAGAUUAACCUAGUUGCUUAGCAAGCAUACUGACUCCGUUUCUAAACAAAGUUUUUACCGCAAUUUUAGGUGGUGGUUCUGCUCACUAUUUUUCACGGGUGCACUAUAAAUCUUUUAUUUAUUGAUUUUAUUUAUUGAUUUAAUAAAAGUUACGUUUUAUAUUUAUUAGGAUUAUAACCUUAAUUGGUUUAUAUUUCCACACAUUUUGGAUUAUUGGGCAUUGGUUCCCUCUCCCUUUCUACUCUCCUGUGUUGCAAUUCUUUUUUGUAGAAACAAACUAACUUUGCUUAAAACAAGUGAAGCAAGCCCCAGUAGUGCUCUAUACACAGAAAAGAGAGUAAAAUAGAGAAAUAUAUUGUUAAGAGAGUAAACUUCAAAGUGGCAAUGAGGCAUUCUUACAGCAGUAACACAAACACCUUUAAUAAGUUAAGGAUUCUAAAUUUAUCAAUUGUACCUACAGCAUUCAUGAGACCAAAGUAAAGAGAAAAGGAAGAAAUGUGAGGCUGGCAGUGUACCUCCAGAAAAACACCAAUCUGAUCAUCUUUUAAGAAUAGCAAUCCAUGGACGUAGAAAACCCCUAAAAUCUUAGAGAAGCAUUUCACAAAAAUAAGACAUGGACCUUCACAGACCAUUCACUUGGAUGCAAAACAAAUCUUACAGUUACUUCUUUGGAAAUUAUAUAAUUUAAUAAAUCAUUGAAAA